AGAAUUUGUUUCUCACCCCUUUGUUCCCUUGGUUCUACAUCAGCCAGCCGCAGUCAAGUUCCGUGUUGGAGCUAAACAGAUGCUCUAGUUCCAAGGGGACCAGGACAUGACCGAAAGGUCUCACCUCAAUUCUGGUCCUGAUUUCAGUUCUAGUUCAGUUUAGUUUUGAUCAAAUCCAACAGUCAAAUUUUUUAAAAUUUUUUUCUUUUUUCCUUUAAGGCAAAAAUCGAUUAUGGCCCGCAAUCGCAUCAACCGGACCAACUGAUUCCAGUCAAUCUGAGUUUGACCAGUUUCUGUCCAUUUCAGUUCCAGGUUGGACAAGUUCCAAUUUCAAAGUGGACCAUGGCCACCUCUAGAUAAAAUACAAAAGGAGUCACAAGUUUAUAGAGGCAAAAGCAUUAAUUUAUCAGAAUUUUUUAUCAUAACCUUGGUUGAUAAUAUAAUAUAAACACAUUAGUUAAUUGAAGUCUUGUGACUUCACUAAAAGAACUUAGAAAGGGUAUAGGAACUACUUACCCAUUACUUCAUAAUGCUCCAUAA
rnacentral:misc_RNA from 1 species